AAGCAGGAGCAGGAGGUUCGAGAGGAUCCGGACUUAAACAUGUUAACUGAAGUCAUUCUUAGUACUGAAAGGACAAUUUGAAAACACCGAUUUCCCCUAAGGCUUCGCCCCCCGUGCAUGGCUGCAAGUGCAAACUAUGCGGCAAAAUGAUUGGAAGAUUGAGCACCUUGGGAAACCACGUAAUGAACCAACAUUACACAGCAAUAAGAGG